rnacentral:antisense_RNA from 1 species
GAAAUUGUCGUCCUCGGCUGACAGAAGCGCCUGAAUGAACUGAGGGGGGAUUUCAUCGAAACGGAUCGGCGAGCGGCGCAUUUCGCCGAAUUCGGCGAUCAGCUUGCCAUCGCUGCUGAAGACCCUCAGCGGUAUCUGCAACUGGAUGCUUCGGAGCGCAUCGACCGAAGGCAGGCUCGGGCUAAGGUAGAGAAACGCACCGCUUACACCGAGUACCAGCGCACAGAUGACAGCGACGAAAGACCACCAGAAGAACUUCAGCAGGCGUAUCAAGGCUUUUGGGUGUCCAGGUUG